ensembl:lncRNA EOGT-DT EOGT divergent transcript
GCAGCAGCCCGCGCCUCCUUGAGCGAGAGCGUUAAAGCGCUCAGAGGAUGUUAGGACGGGAAAAACACAUACUUCUUGGAUUUGUGUUUUGGAAACCUGUGACAGUACCUGCUGAAGUUCACCGAUCUCAUGGCGUAAAUAAUCCUCCUUUCUGGCAGCCGCUUGUUCUGUACGCUGCAAUGCAAGCCUAAGGUCCCCCACCUGUAGGAGGAGAAACAAUACAUUCACAAACAAUGUUUUAGGUGAUGAAGUACCUGCUGCCAGAGUUUCCCCUGAAACACACAAAGAAGAGUCUUUUACUUGUGAUUCAGUUGUUUCAGGAGUUCUUGACUGGCCAAUGUGCAAGGAUUCAUGUAAGCUGCUUUUCACUUCUUCUUCUGGUCGUUGUGAUUUUGCUGGAGGUUUUGAUACCACUGGACUCUUCUGAAUGGUCUGGACAUCAGUUGGCGAGAGAAAGGCACUGAAGAAAUUUUCAGAUUCAUCGACCACAGUCCUCCGAACUGGCUUUGUGAUUGCUUUAGGAGAGGCUAUUGGUGGACUCUGAGGUUCAGUGUUUGAUUUCAACCCCCAGGUUGAAGUAUCCCAUCCUCCACUGACAGGGGAACUUAUUCCU